UACGUAGGGUGCGAGCGUUAAUCGGAAUUACUGGGCGUAAAGUGUGCGCAGGCGGCCGCGCAAGUCGAGUGUGAGAGCCCCGGGCUUAACUUGGGAAUUGCGCUCGAAACUACGUGGCUGGAGUGUGGCAGAGGAAGGUGGAAUUCCAGGUGUAGCGGUGAAAUGCGUAGAGAUCUGGAGGAACACCGAUGGCGAAGGCAGCCUUCUGGGCCAACACUGACGCUCAUGCACGAAAGCGUGGGGAGCAAACAGG
rnacentral:rRNA from 1 species